rnacentral:rRNA from 1 species
AUGCAGCUCCUCACAGAUUUCGCCGAGGCAUCAGGAAUACGCAUGAACCCGCGGAAAUCAUCUACAGCCCCAAUUCGAUGCGACGACAUAGACCUCGGCCACGUCUUGGAAAGCUUCGGCGGUGCCAUCGUCAAGUUUCCAAUUAGAUAUUUAGGCCUACCUAUUUGCUUCAGUAGGACCAGGUUAGUCCACCUGCAGUACCUUCUUGAUCGCAUCCGCGCAAGGUUGGCGGGCUGGAAAGGUCGCCUCAUGCCGAUCGCAGGCUGCCGGGUGUUGGUGUAG